rnacentral:rRNA from 1 species
AACGAACGCUGGCGGCAUGCUUAACACAUGCAAGUUGACCGCAGAAUAGGGCUUCGGCUCUAUUGCUGAGUAGCAAACGGGUGAGUAACGCGUGGGAAUCUACCUUCUUGUGGGGGAUAACUAAGGGAAACUUUAGCUAAUACCGCAUACGCUCUACGGAGGAAAGGCUUCGGCCGCAAGAAGAGGAGCCCGCGUCAGAUUAGGUAGUUGGUGGGGUAAAAGCCUACCAAGGCAAUGAUCUGUAGCUGGUCUGAGAGGAGGAUCAGCCACACUGGGACUGAGACACGGCCCAGACUCCUACGGGAGGCAGCAGUGGGGAAUAUUGGACAAUGGGGGAAAACCUGAUCCAGCAAUGCCGCGUGAAUGAAGAAGGCCUUAGGGUUGUAAAGUUCUUUCACCUGUGAAGAUAAUGACGGUAGCAGGAGAAGAAGCCCCGGCUAACACCGUGCCAGCCGCCGCCGUAA